AUCUGUGCAAUGCAUCUCAAAGACACUUAACACCAGCAUCACCUUCCUUUUUCUACGAGAUAUAUAUAUUCCAUUGGGUAUCUUUAGUUCUAUGUACGCUUUGGGUGUUGUAACACAACGAUAUGGCCCUUUCCAGAGAGACCCCGAGGCAAUGUAGACCCAACAAAACAGAGUUUGCAGAGCAGAGUGAGAAUUUCACUCUGAGCUGGCGGGAAAAAAAAUUACAGGAGAAAAGUAACACUCUGGCAUGGAGUAAACUCUGUACAUUGCAAAGGAUCCUCUCUGUGUUGUUAAUCAAGAAGUUGAUGCUCUCUGCACGUAGACGGGUGUAUAGUGUUUUCGCCAGAAGAGGGGAACUUUAGAGGAAAUGUGUAAAGCAGUAUAGUAUCUCCAGUGUUCUCGCACACGUGUAAAACAAGUGAAUCUCUGAAUGAUGCUACAGUACCAAUGGCGAUUUAGGCUAGGUUUAUGCAUCUCAGCAUCCAUUAGAACUGACCACAUGUUUUCUAGUUUCUACGUCAUCGACGAGAGGACAUGAAAAAAAAAGUUUGGCGAAUAGGAAUCAUCGAAUCAGCAGGAUUAAAUCUACACAUGUAUGGAUAGCCUAAUAAGGUCAUUUUCUCUGUACGACUUUUUUUUUUUUUUUUGAGCUUGGUGAACACGAGCAUGUGAUCGAAAAGCUAAUCAGCCAAAUGUUUCUACCAUCCAAUUGGCAUCUGUUCAACGCAAUUUUUCGACAUCAGAAGAACCCGUUGAACCGUCAAUUCACAUAUAGGUACGUGUGCUCUUUGGACUGGUGUCCCUCUUCAAGAUCAAACAGUUCAACCAUUCCUCUUUUUUUUUUUUCGUAACUUUUCUAUCGUGAUUGGAGGAAGAGUUAGUUCAGAAGGAUUGCGGUCGUUGUUGCGAAAAAACCCUGUGAUCAUGACAGCAUGCCGAUUUGUUUGUUUUUAACUUACAAAGUCAAUGGAGUGUUGGGUUCCGUGACGGGCUCCGAUGUAACGACCACGAGCGACGAUGGGAAGAGGAGCAUUAGAAAAGCGAGUGGAAACAGUAGCUGAGAUGGUCGAUGAACGAAACUAGUAGAUGAAUCCAGAAAGAGGAGUCGUCCUUUCAUCCUCUUUGAUGAAGCAAAACGGCAACACAACGAAACAAAUUCUCUUCGAAAGAAUUUUGUCGUAAAAUCUUAUUAUAAAAAGAAACGUGUAAGAGAGAAAGUCAGCGCUUGUAAAAUCUAUAAGAUUACAAGCUGAUUUGCUGAUAGUCUAUCAAUACGUGAGACAGCCUGCAAGUGGAGCACAUCUUUUGUUAUGGAUUUCAUAGUCUUCUAGGAAAAAAAGGGUAGGAUCAAGGAAGAAGAAAGUUGUAUGACUAGCAUAGAAGGGAUACCAGAUAUGUAGAUGAGCAUACAGACCAGCCAAUUGGUGCUGGUGGUAGAGGACGAAACCUUUGCCAUAGAGCGGUGACUCUUGUGGAACAUAUUGAGAACAUAUCGACCGGAGUAGUAUGGGCCACUGUCGCUUCUUUCUUUCUUUAUACUCUUUUAUAUAUAUAUAUAUAUAUCUCUCUAUUCUUAGACUUAUAAUGCACUUGAAAAUAUAGACAGCAGCUUUUGGCUCAAAACUCUUGUAUAACUAGGCUCCGCCCGGCAGUCGAUAUCAAGACGAAUUGCAGCUAUCACUUGUCGCAGCAUCUAAAUCACACACAACACGCGUCCGUCUCUGUUUAAUACUGUGUUAAGGAUGGAUAAUAACCAAUCGGAUUCGAACGUUGCAUCACGUUUUAUAGACUGCUGAUCUCUCUGUUUAUAGUAAAGCAAUGAUUUUUGUCUUUGAACGUUAGCAAAAGUAUACCCAAUAACCCCUAUAUAAGCCGCAGGGGAGGGAUUGUCCGAGAUAUAAAACAAACGAAAUAAUCGGAGGGAGGGGGGAAAUGUCCACGGGAGAAUUGCAUCGGGACGAACUUGGUCGGUUAAUAACAGCGAAAGAAGUUGACUAAAUGUGUCGAUUCGAUCUAUGGUGCUAUGGAGACACUCCGCGUAGAACUUAAGACGUUAAUACGAAGUGAUGGAAGAGGGAAGAGAAAUCGGACCCGGAUCUCCCUUCCAAAAAAAAAAAGGGGGGGACGUCUCAUUCGAUCAAGAAGAAAGAACAGUUUUGUUUGUUACGUGGAUGCGUGUGUCUUUCCACGAAUAAAAGAGAAUUUCAGACAUUCGUAGAAAUAGUUUGGCUGUUCGUUUGACAAAACAAAGUUGUUUCAAACAGAACACGAAAUAAAAAGGAAAAUCUA